ACUCGCUUGGUGAAAUUGGUAAACACGGUAGACUCAAAAUCUACUCCUUAUAGGAUUAUCGGUUCGAACCCGGUAGUGAGUA
rnacentral:tRNA from 1 species